CCCAGACUCCUACGGGAGGCAGCAGUAGGGAAUCUUCCGCAAUGGACGAAAGUCUGACGGAGCAACGCCGCGUGAGUGAUGAAGGUUUUCGGAUCGUAAAGCUCUGUUGUUAGGGAAGAACAAGUGCCGUUCAAAUAGGGCGGCACCUUGACGGUACCUAACCAGAAAGCCACGGCUAACUACGUGCCAGCAGCCGCGGUAAUACGUAGGUGGCAAGCGUUGUCCGGAAUUAUUGGGCGUAAAGGGCUCGCAGGCGGUUUCUUAAGUCUGAUGUGAAAGCCCCCGGCUCAACCGGGGAGGGUCAUUGGAAACUGGGGAACUUGAGUGCAGAAGAGGAGAGUGGAAUUCCACGUGUAGCGGUGAAAUGCGUAGAGAUGUGGAGGAACACCAGUGGCGAAGGCGACUCUCUGGUCUGUAACUG
rnacentral:rRNA from 2 species